rnacentral:rRNA from 1 species
GACGAACGCUGGCGGCGUGCCUAAUACAUGCAAGUAGAACGCUGAAGAGAGGAGCUUGCUCUUCUUGGAUGAGUUGCGAACGGGUGAGUAACGCGUAGGUAACCUGCCUUGUAGCGGGGGAUAACUAUUGGAAACGAUAGCUAAUACCGCAUAACAAUGGAUGACACAUGUCAUUUAUUUGAAAGGGGCAAUUGCUCCACUACAAGAUGGACCUGCGUUGUAUUAGCUAGUAGGUUAGGUAAUGGCUCACCUAGGCGACGAUACAUAGCCGACCUGAGGGGGGGAUCGGCCACACUGGGACUGGGACACGGCCCAGACUCCUACGGGAGGCAGCAGUAGGGAAUCUUCGGAAAUGGGGGCAACCCUGACCGAGCAACGCCGCGUGAGUGAAGAAGGUUUUCGGAUCGUAAAGCUCUGUUGUAAGUCAAGAACGGGUGUGAGAGUGGAAAGUUCACACUGUGACGGUAGCUUACCAGAAAGGGACGGCUAACUACGUG